UGGGGAAUAUUGGACAAUGGGCGAAAGCCUGAUCCAGCCAUGCCGCGUGUGUGAAGAAGGUCUUCGGAUUGUAAAGCACUUUAAGUUGGGAGGAAGGGCAUUAACCUAAUACGUUAGUGUUUUGACGUUACCGACAGAAUAAGCACCGGCUAACUCUGUGCCAGCAGCCGCGGUAAUACAGAGGGUGCAAGCGUUAAUCGGAAUUACUGGGCGUAAAGCGCGCGUAGGUGGUUUGUUAAGUUGGAGGUGAAAGCCCCGGGCUCAACCUGGGAACUGCAUUCAAAACUGAGUGACUAGAGUAUGGUAGAGGGUGGUGGAAUUUCCUGUGUAGCGGUGAAAUGCGUAGAUAUAGGAAGGAACACCAGUGGCGAAGGCGACCACCUGGACUAAUACUGACACUGAGGUGCGAAAGCGUGGGGAGCAAACA
rnacentral:rRNA from 1 species